CGCUCCUUCGUUGUUAAAGUUGAUUGGGGACUAUGAUCCUAUAUUUUUGGUGUUUAUUUUGGAUGGUCCGGAGUUUUUGGCUGCAACUAUGUUGGACAGAGAUAUGCUUGCUAUUGCUGUAAAUUGGUACCAUGUCAGUUGGUUUUGCUUGGUAAGAUUUGUGACGAUGCGUCGGACAAACAACAUUGGGAAAAUAUACAGCCUUGAGCCUUGAUGACCAAUGUAUAUCUCUAUUUGAGGAAUUCUCCAAAGAUCCAGAGCCGAUUCUUUCAUAGAGAUGUGAAGUUGCGUUAAACAUACUGGAUUUUGAACGAUCCGACAAACCAUUCGAGGUACUUGGAAGAUUAAGUCUCUUAUCUGGGUGGUUGUUACAGGUUUAGGAUGUUAAAUGAUUUUGGAUGUACUCUGUGAUGUCGAUGAUGCAGAGAUGUUGGUAAAGCUCAGGUUAACAACUUCAUGUGUAUAUUUUAAUGAAUAAAGUUUUUGUUGUUUAUAUUUUCUAAUUUAAACUUUUAAUUAACUUCUAAAUUUAAUUAAAUGAGUUUGUUUUGCAGGUUCGAACAACUUCAUGUGUAUAUUUUAUUAUAAAAAAU